ACAUUUGGGAGUAGAUAUAACUUUCUAUAUGAAAUGUCAAAUACUCUACAUCUCAUCGGACCUAGACAAGAGUAGACAAGAAUAUUAUUAUAAUUUUAAGUUCUCAAAUAGCAUUUACAAAGUAUUUCGGGGUCCUACCGUCGUCAUGUGGUCAGUAUUUAUGCUGAGAAGAAUCAGUGUAAAGCUCAAAGAACGAGCUAUACGAGUGUUAAGCCUCUCGACAUCGAAAACGUAAAUGUGCAGAGAUGGUGCAGUAUUUGUGCCAGGAAUCUGUCUCCUAUAUCUCAGGGUCUGCCUGUUCUUGUCAAUGUUCUUUGCUCGCUCCUGCUUAGGUCAUUAACAACAUUACUAACCACUGUUAGCAAAUUUUUUAAACAAUUUGUUUUUGCAGUGAAUACAAGGGUGCCUAUGCUACAAGCUACAACUCUUCCCGAGGAAAGGC
rnacentral:lncRNA from 1 species